GAGAAUCAUUUCAAAGCAUUGACAGGAACGUAUCAUGAGGAUGACGAUAAGUCAUCAUCCCAGAUGUCAAUACUCUUCACUUUUUCACCUUUCCAUUUUGAUUAUUUAUUUCUCUUAUAUAUUCUAAUGUUCAACACGUACGAAAAACAUAUAGUAUCAAUUUCACGCUACUAUUUUUAUAAAAUAUAUACAUAUAUACGUGCGCUUAUUAUAAUUCUAUCGUAUAAUUAUUAAUAUCAUCAAAAAUGACAUCGUCGUAGAUGAUUAGUUCUGAUCGAUCGCACGCCAUCAUAAAAUUCCAUUCAUUCAUCUAUUAGUAGGAAUCGGAAUCGUGAUUGCUUUCAUAAAUGUUUUGGUUAUAAAAGUACUUUUUUAUCGAAAAAAAAAAAAAGAAAAUAUGCGUUGUUCGUUCGUUGUUCUAAUCAUUAACGAUGAACUUUGUACACGCGUAAGUUGUUACCGUUCGCUCAAUUUAGAACGUCAAAAGGUCGUCAUAAUAUCGACAGAAGGCAAGUCCGAGUAUCGUAAGAAUUAUAUGAUGCCUUUGUCCUCUCUCGUAGGAGCGAAGACAUAUAUCACAAAAAUAGAACUUAUGUGCAAUAUUUCUUACGAAAAUGAUUUCGACUUGGCAUCGAUAUAUUUCUUUCUUGGAAAGUUCUUUCAAUUAUAGUUCAUACGCGCAGUAAAUAGAUAUUCGAGCUAAUGAUUUUUGAAAAUAUGAAAGGGGACUUUAGUCUUUAUAUCACGGUACUGAGAUAACUGAGUAGGUGGGAGAACGCUCAGCUGAGCGAACAGCUGCUGGACGCUUCUUAACGAUAGAAACCAAUGCAGCUUCCUGAAGAAUUAUUUAUAUUUUCAAUUUUUCUUUCAUUUUAUACAACAAAAAUAUAACGUCACACGUUAUCACGAUUACGAGGAUCACAGUCGACAAUUAUACGAUUAGUUAUGCUAAUUACCAAAUAAAACAUAACAUUAAACAUAAACAAUCGUUUGAUUUAUACUCUACAGCUUGAGUGGUUAGAUGUGACGUAUAUAAUGCUACUGUUGUAAUACGACAGUGGUUCUCAAGCUUUAGAAAUUUAUAUUGAGCGAAAAUAAUAAACGAUUUGAUAAAGAAAUUAAAUGAUAAUUGUUUCAGUUUUUUUUCAUUUAAUUCAAUAAUCGUCAAAUAUCACUACGAAUGCAAAAUCAAAGGACGAUAUUUCAAUCGAAUUAGUUCAAAUCUGUCGAAAGAAUAUCUCUGACUAAACAGGAAAGAAUGAUAGUUUCAUGAGACUGCGCUGUUUGUCACGUCGAUAGUUAUUUCAGAGGGUUUCUGUCACUUCGCCAUCAAUGAAAAACUUUUGUGUACGUUGUAAACACUUCGUCAUUAAUAUUAUAAUUCUUUUAUUCUUUGUGUAUAAUAAUGGGUUUUUAAAGAAAUAACUAUGUGUAUUAAAUAAAAAUGAUUUUUAAAUAUA